AGUGAACGCUGGCGGUAGGCCUAACACAUGCAAGUCGAACGGCAGCACAGUAAGAGCUUGCUCUUACGGGUGGCGAGUGGCGGACGGGUGAGGAAUACAUCGGAAUCUACUUUUUCGUGGGGGAUAACGUAGGGAAACUUACGCUAAUACCGCAUACGCCCUACGGGUGAAAGCAGGGGAUCUUCGGACCUUGCGCGAUUGAAUGAGCCGAUGUCGGAGUAGCUAGUUGGCGGGGUAAAGGCCCACCAAGGCGACGAUCCGUAGCUGGUCUGAGAGGAUGAUCAGCCACACUGGAACUGAAACACGGUCCAGACUCCUACGGGAGGCAGCAGUGUGGAAUAUUGGACAAUGGGCGCAAGCCUGAUCCAGCCAUACCGCGUGGGUGAAGAAGGCCUUCGGGUUGUAAAGCCCUUUUGUUGGGAAAGAAAAGCAGCAGGUUAAUACCCCGCUGUUCUGACGGUACCCAAAGAAUAAGCACCGGCUAACUUCGUG
rnacentral:rRNA from 1 species